CGCGAUAACCCACGCCCCACAAGAGGAGUAUAAAAAUGUUGCCGCAGUAAAAAAAGCCGGGGGGGGGGUUUCGGUUUUGAUAUUUAAUAAAAUAUUUUUUGACAAAUUUUUAAUAUAAUAUCAACAUUCUUCAUAUUAUUUUUUUUUUUAGUAUAUGAAAUUUUACUUUGAGAAAAUUAGAGUGCUUAAAGCAGGCAUAUGCCUUGAAUACUCCAGCAUGGAAUAAUAUUAAAGAUUUUUAUCUUUUUUAAAUUGGGGGACAGUUGGGGGCAUUUGUAUUUAACAGUCAGAGGUGAAAUUCUUAGAUUUGUUAAAGACAAACUAAUGCGAAAGCAUUUGCCAAGGAUGUUUUCAUUAAUCAAGAACGAAAGUUAGGGGAUCGAAGACGAUCAGAUACCGUCGUAGUCUUAACCAGAAACUAUGCCAACGAGAGACGGAGGGUUUUUUUUAUUCAACAAAGAGAACAGUCCCCGUCGUAUCUAUCACUCUACUACUACCGCCAGUAGGGAGGGGGGGGGUGGACCACUACU
rnacentral:rRNA from 1 species